GUUAUUACGAUGUCGUAGGCUCGAGCAAAUAAAAGGAAGCCCGAAGAGGCUAUCCGAUAAAUUCGAGAGCGUCUCUGUCUUUCUGCUUCGUUUCUCAUUUCCGUGGCGCCAAAACUUUCGACGAUGAGCGCCUGCAAAACCCUAACCCGCGCUUCGCUUCGCUCACUCGGUUCCACUCUUCGAAGCCACCAGCAUUCCGUCUGCUCUCUCUCCCUUCGGCCCUUCCACUCUUUCACCUCUCGAGGAUUAGGCUUCAAACCGUUUGGAGUAUCCUCACGACGUUCUGCCUCGAUUGGAGGAGCUGUCUCGCUUGAAGCCGCCGAUUUCACCGAUGAGGAGUCUUGUGGCAGCUCGUCAAAGGACGCGGUGGAGCAGUUGGUUGCGAGCAGAGACGACGUUGCUCGGUUAAUGAAGAUGGAGCGGAGGUCCUUGACCGAUGACUGCGAUGGCGAUGGGCCCGUGCAGCUGAAGCGGUGGUUUCCUUAUUUGGACAGGUUCGAGUGCGGAGGAGGCUCUUAUUUGAGCAGCGGUGAGGUUUUGGAAGCUGUAGAUCCGCUCAUUAUGGAUGCGCGGAAGGAGAGGUUUAGAAAUGUGGUGAAGAAUCGAAGCUAUUCCGUAUGCUUGGUGGUGGAAGGGUUGUGCGAUUUCGGAAAUGUUUCAGCUGCGUUCCGCUCUGCCGAUGCAUUGGGACUCCAGUCAGUUCACGUCGUGUCCUGCGACUCGAAAAGGUACAGAGAUAAUCGACAUGUAAGCAUGGGUGCAGAGAAAUGGUUGGACAUUGAACUUUGGGACUCUACGAGGGAGUGUUUCAGUAGUCUUAAAUCACGUGGAUAUCGCAUUGCCACGACACAUCUAGGAAAGGAUGCAGUAUCUAUUUAUGAUAUGGACUGGUCACACCCAACUGCAAUAGUUGUUGGAAAUGAGAAUAGGGGGAUCAGUGACGAGGCCCUGGAAUUGUCAGAUCUGCAUUGCAGCAUACCUAUGAAAGGCAUGGUGGACUCCUUCAAUGUCUCUGUCGCUGCUGGCAUCCUCAUGCACCAUGCUGUCUGUGACAGAAUUGCGCGUUUGAUUUCUCAGUUACUUUUUGAUUCAAUCAAUUUUGAAGCCACAAAGUAUUAAACCUGGAAUGAAAUCAUCCACUCUGCAACUUCACAUGAUUCUUUGAUCAUGUUUCUGUGCUCAUCAAACUGAAUGGAUUUCUUGCUGUAGGUAAACUAUCAUGUCUCUUUUUUUUUUUUGAUUGAUCAAAUGUAAUAUUACGGAUCCUCAUUACUAAUGAAAUCAACUGAAUGGCUGUCCCACUCCCUGUGGCAUGGGGUGCUCGUCUUUACUGUUCAUCCAAUGGUUUGUUGAGCUGUGAGGGUGAUCCCGAUCAUUGAGAAUUGAGAAUAUAUCGCUGCACUUACUAGUUGCUACACGGAACAUCUGGGGCGUCAUGGUGAUCUGACGAAGGAAGAGAGCCAAAUACUACUAGCGGAGUUCUUCCUGCGACACAGCAAGAGUGCGAUUAGCAUUGCCAAUGAGUACUCAAAGAGGAGUCCGGCCUUGCCACUGCCAAAACUUUGAAUGCGGAAUCUUAAUCUUUGAAUCUCCUCAGGAUAUAUAUACAUAUAUAUAUGUAUGGGAAGAUGACAUGGAAGGUCUCUACAGCCAUUCGUUUGCGCUAAUAUGAUUGGGGGAAGACGAGAACGUGCGUGGAAUGGAUCUGGGCAGAGAAUGCCUGCUUUAAGUUAGCUAGAAAGCUGCGGUUGGCAGCUUUUUGGGUUCUAGUAAUUAUUGUUGCUUUGAGUUUGAGGGUUGCCCGAGUUAUUGUAGUGGAUAAUUAUUUUAUCCCGCAGCUAUUCUUUAUAGCCCAGGUGAUGAUGGGGGGAGUAUGUUUCCUCCUAAA